CUGUCAUAGACUAGUACAUAUGGCGUCAAACGUUCGUUUUGGUUUUUUAGUUUUGGUGUAAUUGAAAGUUUUAACUGACAAAUUCGUAAAAUAAAUAUAGAAACAUGAAUAAAACUAUCUGGAACUGUGGCAGGAAGGUAAUUCAUAGAGUGUUCUUGCAUUGUUUGGCAGAACAAGAAGCUGGAGAAAUUAUACAUCCAAUUGAUGAUGUUUAUAGACGAACAGCCGAAAUGACAGAUGGCAGCACAGCAAACAUUUGAAAGUAUCAUAGUUGAAAAUUGGGCAAAUUCAUGCAGACAUGUGAUGAAAAUUGAAAAAGAGUAUUUAGAGAGAGGCAGAACUUUGUACACCGAUAUAGAACGAUUAGUCAUUGAUGUCAAUGAUGACAGCAGCAGUGACAAGACAUCAGAAUCCUCUUAUUCUGAUAUAGCAGGAACACCAACCCAAGAUCUUGUCUUCUUAGGUGUAGAAUAGAUAUUCUGAGACAUCAUCCAAAUGGAUCAACAAUUUGAUUCUGAUUAAAUAAAAUCACUAAUAAUGAA